rnacentral:rRNA from 1 species
GACGAACGCUGGCGGCGCGCUUAACACAUGCAAGUCGAACGGAAAGGCCUGCUUUCCCUUGUGGAUUGCGGGUACUCGAGUGGCGAACGGGUGAGUAACACGUGAGUGAUCUGCCCCCAACUUGGGUAUAAGCCUGGGAAACUGGGUCUAAUUCCCGAUAGGACUGCAGGGUGGUGCCUGUGGUGGAAAACGAUUUUCUAGUGGUUGGGGAUGAGCUCGCGGCCUAUCGGCUUGUUGGUGGGGUAAUGGCCUACCAAGGCGGCGACGGGUAGCCGGCCUGAGAGGGUGGACGGCCACAUUGGGACUGAGAUACGGCCCAGACUCCUACGGGAGGCAGCAGUGGGGAAUAUUGCACAAGGGGCGGAAGCCUGAUGCAGCGACGCCGCGUGGGGGAUGACGGCCUUCGGGUUGUAAACUCCUUUCGACCGCGAGGAAGCCACCUGGUUGGAAGGGUGGUGACGGUAGUGGUAGAAGAAGCACCGGCUAACUACGUG